CCUCCUCUUCUGUUUGGAUCUCCCGUUCUAUAAAGCUCUGCCCUACUGUACUGUAGUGGAGCGGAGUAGAUUCAGUAGAGGUAUAGAAGUAGAUUCAGUAGAGGUGGUGGAGUAGAUUCAGUUGAGUAGAUUCAGUAGAGGUAGUGGAGUAGAUUCAGUAGAGGUAUAGAGUAGAUUCAGUAGAGGUAUAGAAUAGAUACAGUAGAGGUAGUGGAGUAGAUUCAGUAGAUUCAGUAGAGUAGAUUCAGUAGUGGUAAUGGAGUAGAGUACUUCAUGUACCUUUCGAUCAGCCAGAGACGGAGUGAGAUUAUAUAAGAGAGAAAGUGAGAAUGCAUAUACUGCAAAUACUCUCUCCUCUACUCUCCUAUGUACUGUAGUAUAGUAAAGAAAAGUUGAUUCCAGUAGAGGUAUGAGAGUACUAUCCUAUGUACUGUAGUAUGGUAGAGGGAGGUCCAUUCAAGUAGAGUAGAGGGAGAAAAGAGUACUCCAUGUACCUUUUGAUCAACCCGAUACGGAGUGAGAAUUUAAGAGCUGGAGAGAGAAUCAACCAAAGAGGCAGUUGUUAAUGAUGAUGAUGAUGAGGAUGAUGAGGAGGAGGAGGGUAUCUGCGGUCACCAUCCUGCCCGCCAGAGCUGGUUCCGGGCGGCGUGCCCGUAACAUCAGACCAGCGGUACGCCAGCCAGGGCUAGGCUAUCAUUAGCUCCACACCACUGUCACUCAACACCCUGCAGCCUAGCAUUAGCCUGACCAACGCGCGGUUAGCCGUGGAGCUCAGGAGACAGACGCACACAGGAGAACGGAGGGAGAGGGAGAGAGAGGUGGGGAGGGGGA